AUUGAACGCUGGCGGCAGGCUUAACACAUGCAAGUCGAGCGGAGUGAUGGUGCUUGCACUAUUACUUAGCGGCGGACGGGUGAGUAAUGCUUAGGAAUCUGCCAUUUAGUGGGGGACAACAUUCCGAAAGGAAUGCUAAUACCGCAUACGUCCUACGGGAGAAAGCAGGGGAUCUUCGGACCUUGCGCUAAAUGAUGAGCCUAAGUCGGAUUAGCUAGUUGGUGGGGUAAAGGCCUACCAAGGCGACGAUCUGUAGCGGGUCUGAGAGGAUGAUCCGCCACACUGGGACUGAGACACGGCCCAGACUCCUACGGGAGGCAGCAGUGGGGAAUAUUGGACAAUGGGCGGAAGCCUGAUCCAGCCAUGCCGCGUGUGUGAAGAAGGCCUUUUGGUUGUAAAGCACUUUAAGCGAGGAGGAGGCUCUCCUAGUUAAUACCUAGGAAGAGUGGACGUUACUCGCAGAAUAAGCACCGGCUAACUCUGUGCCAGCCGCCGCCGUAACAC
rnacentral:rRNA from 1 species